UUCACUUAUCAGCUCGCUGAGCUAAGACCAUGUGUAAUACUUGUUCUUUGCAGUAUAAUUUCUGCAACGGUUUCUAAACUAAGAUUAAAGAAGCUACCUAUAUUUCUUCCUCCUGCUUUGAAUUUUCUUAACCUCGUUCGCUGGUUUGCCUUGUAAUGCGAAUACUGGAAUUGAUCUCCUCCAAGGAGAUUCAGUUGUUAAUUU
rnacentral:snRNA from 1 species